rnacentral:rRNA from 1 species
CACGUAGGGCGCAAGCGUUGUCCGGAAUUAUUGGGCGUAAAGGGCUCGUAGGCGGUUUGUCGCGUCGGGAGUGAAAACCUCGGGCUUAACUCGGGGCUUGCUUUCGAUACGGGCAGACUGGAGGUAUGCAGGGGAGAACGGAAUUCCUGGUGUAGCGGUGAAAUGCGCAGAUAUCAGGAGGAACACCGGUGGCGAAGGCGGUUCUCUGGGCAUGACCUGACGCUGAGGAGCGAAAGCCAGGGGAGCGAACGGG